CAGACUACACUUGUGUAUCCCACGGUGUUUUCUAAAUUUAAAGCACCAGUGUAUCCCACGGUGCAUCUUUACAUUUUCAUAUACAUGUAUAUCUAUCUUCACAUAUAUCUAUCUUCAUAUAUAUCUAUCUAUCUACCUGGUUGCCAUAUUAUCUUCGGGUAACCGACCAUAGAUCUAUCUACAUAUACAUGGUCUAUGGUCUAUCUAUCUAUAUAUAUAUAUUAUAUAUUAUAUGAAUCUAUCAUAUUAUGAAUAAAAG
rnacentral:lncRNA from 1 species